UAGGGAAUCUUCGGCAAUGGGGGCAACCCUGACCGAGCAACGCCGCGUGAGUGAAGAAGGUUUUCGGAUCGUAAAGCUCUGUUGUAAGAGAAGAACGUGUGUGAGAGUGGAAAGUUCACACAGUGACGGUAACUUACCAGAAAGGGACGGCUAACUACGUGCCAGCAGCCGCGGUAAUACGUAGGUCCCGAGCGUUGUCCGGAUUUAUUGGGCGUAAAGCGAGCGCAGGCGGUUUAAUAAGUCUGAAGUUAAAGGCAUUGGCUUAACCAUUGUGCGCUUUGGAAACUGUUAAUCUUGAGUGCAGAAGGGAAGAGUGGAAUUCCAUGUGUAGCUGUGAAAUGCGUGGAUAUAUGGAGGAACACCGGUGGCGAAAGCGGCUCUCUGGUCUGUAACUAACGCUGAGGCUCGAAAGCGUGGGGAGCAAACAGG
rnacentral:rRNA from 1 species